GUAAGGUCUACUCCUCUUCCUCUGGCAGAAUUUGCUCCUGGAUUUUGUGGUUCAUUCUUUGGCAAUUUUUUAGCUAUUGCCAUGAAUAUUUCAUUUACAUUCAUUGAUGUUUUAGCGGAUGUCUCCAUGAAUAAUAAACUAUUGUCAUCUGCAUAGGACUGUGCUUCCUGGAAAUCUACUGCUCUUUUAUUUGCUAGGUCGGCCUUGUUUCCCGAUAAAGCUAUUACAAUGUUAGGACUUGCUUG
rnacentral:misc_RNA from 1 species